rnacentral:rRNA from 1 species
AGGACGAACGCUGGCGGCGUGCUUAACACAUGCAAGUCACGGGGGCCCGCAAGGGCAACCGGCGAACGGGUGCGUAACACGUGAGCAACCUGCCUAGAUGUGGGGGAUAGCCGGCCCAACGGCCGGGUAAUACCGCAUACGGUCACGAGGAGGAGUCUCCUUGUGAAGAAACCUCCGGGGCAUUUAGAGGGGCUCGCGGCCUAUCAGCUAGUUGGCGGGGUAAUGGCCCACCAAGGCUUCGACGGGUAGCUGGUCUGAGAGGAUGGCCAGCCACAUUGGGACUGAGAGACGGCCCAGACUCCUACGGGAGGCAGCAGUGGGGAAUCUUGCGCAAUGGCCGAAAGGCUGACGCAGCGACGCCGCGUGUGGGAGGACGCCCUUCGGGGUGUAAACCACUGUUGCCCGGGACGAACAUCUUCUUUCGAGAAGACUGACGGUACCGGUGAGGAAGCACCGGCUAACUCCGUGCCAGCAGCCGC